rnacentral:rRNA from 1 species
AUUGAACGCUGGCGGCAGGCCUAACACAUGCAAGUCGAGCGGCAGCGGGAAAGUAGCUUGCUACUUUUGCCGGCGAGCGGCGGACGGGUGAGGAAUGCCUGGGAAAUUGCCCAGUCGAGGGGGAUAACAGUUGGAAACGACUGCUAAUACCGCAUACGCCCUACGGGGGAAAGCAGGGGACCUUCGGGCGUUGCGCGAUUGGAGAUGGCCAGGUGGGAUUAGCUAGUUGGUGAGGUAAUGGCUCACCAAGGCGACGAUCCCUAGCUGGUCUGAGAGGAUGAUCAGCCACACUGGAACUGAGACACGGUCCAGACUCCUACGGGAGGCAGCAGUGGGGAAUAUUGCACAAUGGGGGAAACCCAGAUGCAGCCAUGCCGCGUGUGUGAAGAAGGCCUUCGGGUUGUAAAGCACUUUCAGCGAGGAGGAAAGGUUGAUGCCUAAUACGUAUCAACUGUGACGUUACUCGCAGAAGAAGCACCGGCUAACUCCGUGCCAGCCGCCGCGGUAA